GAUGAACGCUGGCGGCGUGCCUAAUACAUGCAAGUCGAGCGAACAGACGAGGAGCUUGCUCCUCUGACGUUAGCGGCGGACGGGUGAGUAACACGUGGAUAACCUACCUAUAAGACUGGGAUAACUUCGGGAAACCGGAGCUAAUACCGGAUAAUAUAUUGAACCGCAUGGUUCAAUAGUGAAAGACGGUUUUGCUGUCACUUAUAGAUGGAUCCGCGCCGCAUUAGCUAGUUGGGAAGGUAACGGCUUACCAAGGCAACGAUGCGUAGCCGACCUGGGAGAGGGGGAGCCCGCACGAGAGCGUGACCGGGCACAAGGCUCCUGAGGGAGGCACCAGAAGGCAAUGGUAGGCAGUAGCGGGAAGCAUGGCGGAACGGGCCGGAGUGAGAGGUAGAGUUCUCGGGUGCGAAAAGCUGUUUUAUGGGGGAAAAACAACUUUGAAAAUAAAUAAACCGUACGUGACGGUACCUAAUGAAAAAGCCACGGCUAACUACGUG
rnacentral:rRNA from 1 species